rnacentral:rRNA from 1 species
GAUGAACGCUAGCGGCAGGCUUAAUACAUGCAAGUCGUGGGGCAGCAUGAGUAGCAAUACUUGAUGGCGACCGGCAAACGGGUGAGGAACACGUACACAACCUUCCUUCAAGCGGGGAAUAGCCCAGAGAAAUUUGGAUUAAUACCCCAUAAUAUAUUUGAUAAGGCAUCUUAUUAGUAUUAAAGCUUCGGCACUUGAUGAUGGGUGUGCGGCUGAUUAGAUAGUUGGCGGGGUAACGGCCCACCAAGUCUACGAUCAGUAGCUGAUGUGAGAGCAUGAUCAGCCACACGGGCACUGAGACACGGGCCCGACUCCUACGGGAGGCAGCAGUAAGGAAUAUUGGACAAUGGACGAAAGUCUGAUCCAGCCAUGCCGCGUGAAGGAUUAAGGUCCUCUGGAUUGUAAACUUCUUUUAUAUGGGACGAAAAAGGGCAUUCUUGUUCACUUGACGGUACCAUAUGAAUAAGCACCGGCUAACUCCGUGCCAGC